GGGACAGGUCUGGGCUGGCAGGGCCAGCGGAAAAGACAGUAAGAGAAGACAUUCUGUCUCCACUGGCUGUGGGACCUUGGGCCGAGUCAUUUUUCAGAUCUCUUCCAGUUACAAUGGAUGAUCAUGAGAAAUUUCUUUCACAGGUUAGUAUCAACGCUCUACUCAAGCACUCCUGACAGGUGUCCACCAAGCUACUACUGGAUUUCCAGGGGCAGGUGUCCACCAAGCUACUACUGGAUUUCCAGGGGCAGGUGUCCACCAAGGUACUACUGGAUUUCCAGGGGCAGGAAUGUUCCGCAUGCCACAGUCACGGGCCCUACAGCUGGAAUGCUGCUACC